rnacentral:lncRNA from 1 species
AUCUAAAUCGUAUAAUCGAUUAUCUGGCAACGUUCAAAAAAUCUUUUUCAGAUUUUACUUAAAACAAUCGAUUAUAAAAAUCAUAUAAUCGAUUACUUGGCAACGUUCAAAAAAUCUUUUUCAGAUUUUACUUAAAACAAUCGAUUAUCAAAAUCAUUAAUCGAUUACUUGGCAACGUUCAAAAAAUCAUAUUCAGAUUUUAC